AGAGACAGCAGUCGCCGCGGUAAUACGUAGGUGGCAAGCGUUGUCCGGAAUUAUUGGGCGUAAAGGGCUCGCAGGCGGUUUCUUAAGUCUGAUGUGAAAGCCCCCGGCUCAACCGGGGAGGGUCAUUGGAAACUGGGAAGCUUGAGUGCAGAAGAGGAGAGUGGAAUUCCACGUGUAGCGGUGAAAUGCGUAGAGAUGUGGAGGAACACCAGUGGCGAAGGCGACUCUCUGGUCUGUAACUGACGCUGAGGAGCGAAAGCGUGGGGAGCGAACAGGAUUAGAUACCCCCGUAGUCCCUGUCUCUUAUAC
rnacentral:rRNA from 1 species